UAGCUUUGAUCCUGGCUCAGAGCGAACGCUGGCGGCAGGCCUAACACAUGCAAGUCGAGCGCCCCGCAAGGGGAGCGGCAGACGGGAGAGUAACACGUGGGAACGUACCCUUCAGUUCGGAACAACCCAGGGAAACUUGGGCUAAUACCGAAUACGUCCGUAAGGAGAAAGAUUUAUCGCUGAAGGAUCGGCCCGCGUCUGAUUAGCUUGUUGGUGAGGUAACGGCUCACCAAGGCUACGAUCAGUAGCUGGUCUGAGAGGAUGAUCACCCUCACUGGGACUGAGACACGGCCCAGACUCCUACGGGAGGCAGCAGUGGGGAAUAUUGGACAAUGGGCGCAAGCCUGAUCCAGCCAUGCCGCGUGGGUGAUGAAGGCCCUAGGGUUGUAAAGCCCUUUCGGCGGGAAAGAUAAUGACGGUACCCGCAGAAGAAGCCCCGGCUAACUUCGUGCCAGCAGCCGCGGUAAUUGCGAAGGGGGCUAGCGUUGCUCGGAAUCACUGGGCGUAAAGCGCACGUAGGCGGGUUCUUAAGUCAGGGGUGAAAUCCUGGAGCUCAACUCCAGAACUGCCCUUGAUACUGGGAAUCUUGAGUCCGGGAGAGGUGAGUGGAACUGCGAGUGUAGAGGUGAAAUUCGUAUAUNUUCGCAAGAACACCAGUGGCGAAGGCGGCUCACUGGCCCGGUACUGACGCUGAGGUGCGAAAGCG
rnacentral:rRNA from 1 species